rnacentral:lncRNA from 1 species
AAAUGCUAGGAAACAACUGUAACCAUAGAAACCAUCUCACACUGCAAUCUGAACAUCUUUUGUCAGUGUGUGACUAGAAAUGAGAUGCUUAAAAUCAUUAGACUAUCAAAAAAUCUGAACAUCUCUCCAUUGAAAUUUACAUAUUUAAAUAUUUUGAAACCUGCAAAAACUUCAACAUGAUACUUCUAUAAAAUAUUGUUUCAGCGCCUAGCCCUCAACUAUCAGUUUAGAUAUAACAACAAAAAUUAUACAUGAAGACUUACAAUUUUCCCCCCUCUUUCUUUAGGUUACAUGCAUUGUCUGAGGAGCCUAAACAAACACCCGGGAGAACAGAGUUAUUUAAACUUCCAACUGUAAUGUCACAAGCAACCUUGACUCAUGGGAGGGCACCAGAGGAGGAACUAAAUGACUUUGCGUCUCACUCUCCAAGGCCUCCACCUCUCCCCACCCCCUCAGUCCCUCCCACAGAGCUGACACUGUUGUUACACUUCAAACCAUUCCAAACCCCCACGGUGAGAAACAGGGCUGUGCAGAUUCACCUGAGAGUAUGAAUUCAUGAGUGUUUCCUAAUCUAUAUGUUGUAUAUCUGCGUACAUGUAUAUAUAUUCUGCAUAUAAAUAAAAUAUGCAUCCAGUUCAAGGGCAC